UGCCAGACUCUACGGGAGGCAGCAGUGGGGAAUAUUGCACAAUGGGGGGAACCCUGAUGCAGCGACGCCGCGUGGGUGAAGAAGCGCCUCGGCGCGUAAAGCCCUGUCAGCAGGGAAGAAAAUGACGGUACCUGAAGAAGAAGCCCCGGCUAACUACGUGCCAGCAGCCGCGGUAAUACGUAGGGGGCAAGCGUUAUCCGGAUUUACUGGGUGUAAAGGGGGCGCAGACGGCGAUGCAAGCCAGGAGUGAAAGCCCGGGGCCCAACCCCGGGACUGCAUUGGAAACUGCGAGGCUGGAGUGUCGGAGAGGCAGGCGGAAUUCCUAGUGUAGCGGUGAAAUGCGUAGAUAUUAGGAGGAACACCAGUGGCGAAGGCGGCCUGCUGGACGAUGACUGACGCUGAUGCGCGAAAGCGUGGGGAGCAAACAGGAUUAGAUACCCCUGUA
rnacentral:rRNA from 1 species